GAUGAACGCUGGCGGCGUACCUAAUACAUGCAAGUCGAGCGAACAGAUGAGGAGCUUGCUCCUCUGACGUUAGCGGCGGACGGGUGAGUAACACGUGGAUAACCUACCUAUAAGACUGGGAUAACUUCGGGAAACCGGAGCUAAUACCGGAUAAUAUAUUGAACCGCAUGGUUCAAUAGUGAAAGACGGUUUUGCUGUCACUUAUAGAUGGAUCCGCGCCGCAUUAGCUAGUUGGUAAGGUAACGGCUUACCAAGGCAACGAUGCGUAGCCGAUCUGAGAGGGUGAUCGGCCACACUGGAACUGAGACACGGUCCAGACUCCUACGGGAGGCAGCAGUAGGGAAUCUUCCGCAAUGGGCGAAAGCCUGACGGAGCAACGCCGCGUGAGUGAUGAAGGUCUUCGGAUCGUAAAACUCUGUUAUUAGGGAAGAACAAAUGUGUAAGUAACUAUGCACGUCUUGACGGUACCUAAUCAGAAAGCCACGGCUAACUACGUG
rnacentral:rRNA from 1 species